rnacentral:rRNA from 1 species
UCUAGUGAAAUCCCGCAGCUAACUGCGGGGCUUGCUAGGGAAACUGCUGUACUUGGGACUGGGAGAGGUCGAGGGUAUUCCAGGGGUAGGGGUAAAAUCCUGUAAUCCUUGGGAGACCAUCUGUGGCGAAGGCGCUCGACCAGAACGGAUCCGACGGUGAGGGACGAAAGCCAGGGGAGCAAAGGGGAUUAGAUACCCCCGUAGUCCUGGCUGUAAACGAUGCCCACUAGACAUUGGCAAUCUCAUGGGGGUUGCCAGUGCCGUAGCGAAAGCGUUAAGUGGGCCGCCUGGGGAGUACGGUCGCAAGGCUGAAACUUAAGGGAAUUGGCGGGGGAGCACACAAGGGGUGGAGGCUGCGGUUUAAUUGGACUUAACGCCGGGAACCUUACCAGAGGCGACAGCAGGUUGAAGGUCCGCUUGAAGAGCGUACCAGACACGCUGAGAAGUGGUGCAUGGCCGUCGUCAGUUCGUGUCGUGAGAUGUCCUGUUAAGUCAGGUAACGAACAAGACCCGCGCCCCAUGUUGCCACGGUAUAUUUCGAUAUGCCAGCACUCAUGGGGGACCGCUGGCGAUAAGCCAGAGGAAGGUGCGGUCGACGGCAGGUCUGUAUGCUCUGAAUCCUCUGGGUUACACGCGGCCUACAAUGGCCGGGACAAUGGGAUGCGACACCGAAAGGUGAAGCUAAUCCCGAAACCCGGUCUCAGUUCGGAUCGAGGGCUGCAACUCGCCCUCGUGAAGCCGAAAUCCCUAGUAGUCGCUGGUUAGCAUCCAGCGACGAAUACGUUCCUGCUCC